UACAGAGGGUGCGAGCGUUAAUCGGAAUUACUGGGCGUAAAGCGCGCGUAGGCGGCUUUGCAAGUCGGGUGUGAAAUCCCCAGGCUUAACCUGGGAACUGCAUUCGAGACUGCAUUGCUAGAGUAUGGGAGAGGGAAGUGGAAUUUCCGGUGUAGCGGUGAAAUGCGUAGAUAUCGGAAGGAACACCAGUGGCGAAAGCGGCUUCCUGGUCCAGCACCGACGUUCAGGCACGAAAGCGUGGGGAGCAAACGGG
rnacentral:rRNA from 1 species